rnacentral:rRNA from 1 species
AUUGAACGCUGGCGGCAUGCCUUACACAUGCAAGUCGAACGGCAGCACGGGAGCAAUCCUGGUGGCGAGUGGCGAACGGGUGAGUAAUAUAUCGGAACGUGCCCAGUCGUGGGGAUAACGUAGCGAAAGCUACGCUAAUACCGCAUACGAUCUAUGGAUGAAAGCGGGGGAUCGCAAGACCUCGCGCGAUUGGAGCGGCCGAUAUCAGAUUAGGUAGUUGGUGGGGUAAAGGCUCACCAAGCCGACGAUCUGUAGCUGGUCUGAGAGGACGACCAGCCACACUGGGACUGAGACACGGCCCAGACUCCUACGGGAGCAGCAGUGGGGAAUUUUGGACAAUGGGCGCAAGCCUGAUCCAGCAAUGCCGCGUGCAGGAUGAAGGCCUUCGGGUUGUAAACGUGU